AUUGAUGGGUCGCCAUCACUGCAGCAGUAAUACCAUCAUCAAAUCAGUGAUUGAGUAGUAUUAUCGAAUUCACGCGUAGGCGAUGCUUCCCUAGCGUAGCGGGUUUCCAUGGCAACCCCAACAGACACUACGCACGAUCAAUACGGCUACCAGAAUCUCGCCAAAUGGCGAUGGCAACAGUUUCGUCCGCACGAUGGAGUAAAAUUAGCCAGUGGUGAGAGCCUGUUGUAGCGUUUAUUCAAACUGAGUCGGAAUAUUUUGAACCAGGUACGGUGGCGCGACAAGGCGUGGCGGUGUUUGGUGACUGACGCUAUCAACAGACAUCCCAGACGGGUGCAACUGUAUAUCUCGUCGCGCCUGAUAACAAGAACCUGAAAUCUACAACAAUGAAGAUUUUAUGUCUCGAACGGGAUAACACAACGUUCCAGUCACGUGACGACGGGGCAGGUAACUCGUACCGAUCUAGCUUCGAGUUGUUCCCCUUUCACGAGGGAAAGGACCACGCCGUUUACAAGGGCAUGCUCAACGGUACAGGGCCGAAACGUGGGAUGUUCUGUGCUGUGAAAGCGUGUGUCACCCACACAGGCAGGGAGGCAGACUGGUGGAGCGUCGAGGAAGCUUCGAGGACUGGACGCCAGAUGGCGACACUCUUCAACCAGUGUCUCAAACGCAAAGUUGUCCGUUUCACAACGCCGCUCGUCGCUCAAAUGAACAAAGUGUCCGACUUCAGUGGAGUAAUGAAGUUAUUCCAGCCUCACGAGAAGAAACUGAAAUUAAAAGAAUAUGUACUUCUGGAAGAUUUCAUUGAGGGAACGUUUAAAAGAUUCAGUUCUGCAAGUGGUGCUUCUACUGACUCGGGGGGAAGCGGAUAUGACGCAAGCAUUCUCGCACUUCACGUGGCACCAGUCGAGAGAGCUCGUGAUUUGCGGGCUUCAGGGUGUGAGUAAUGGCAGCGGCUAUCAUUUCA